rnacentral:rRNA from 1 species
CCUACGGGUGGCAGCAGUGGGGAAUAUUGCACAAUGGACGAAAGUCUGAACCAGCAACGCCGCGUGAAUGAUGAAUGGCCUCGGGUUUGUAAGCUCCUUUUUUGUGGGAGUACAAUGUUCCGCGUGUGUGAUUUUGUAUUUACCAUAUGAAUACGGAUAGGCACACUCCGUGACAUCAGCGGCGGUACUACGUAGGAUGCGAGCGUUAUCCGGAUUUAUUGGGUUUUAAGUGAGCGUAGGUGGAUGGUUAGGUCAGUUGUGAAAGUUUGCGGCUCAACCGAACAAUUGCAGUGGAAACUGGCAGGCUUGAGUGCAGUAGAGGUGAGUGGAAUUCGUGGUGUAGCGGUGGAAUGCGUAGAUAUAAGGAAGAACACCGGUGGCGAAGGCAGUUGACUGGACUGCAACUGACACUGAGGCUCGAAAGCAUGGGUAGCAAACAGGAUUAGAUACCCCAGUAGUC